rnacentral:lncRNA from 1 species
CAGAUGCCUUGACACAAAUAACUAAAAAGAAGAUGAUGGAUUUCUCAUGAAAGUCAGUCAUUUAUUGAUUCAAACUAUUUCGAGUAAUCAUUAUAGAUAAUGACUGAUAAUUCAACAAUAUUAAGUUCAAAAAAUUUUGCACAAAGUAUUAAAUUAUCUACAAACUUAUUUCGAUCGAAGAUCCACAAUCUAAUGAGAAAGCCGAGGUGACCAACAAAAUAAUAUUACAAGGCCUAAAGA